rnacentral:tRNA from 1 species
GCAGCGGUAGUUCAGUGAUAGAAUUCUCACCUUCCAUGUGGGGGACCUGGGUUUGAUUCCUGGCCAGUACA